GAGGAAAGCCCAGCGACGCCGGGCCAGCGCAUUCUUAUUUUAUGUAUGAGCAAACUAUGGAAUGGAAAAGAGAUUAUGAGUUAUUACUUGAUUUGAUUUGCCCUAAGUGUUUUUUAAACGAAGAUCUGGCAAGAGUUAGCGUGCAGUUCUACAUUGUGACAAUUCAUGAGAGCUAAGGACUGGCUGUCUCUUGGGACAAAUAGGCUUUCUUGAGUCUGCAUGAGGCCCUCACCAGAUACAGCCACCUGAUCUUGGACUUCACAGCCUCCAGAAAUUUCCUAGGAAAGAAGUUGUUUCAACUCUCAUUGGAGGAAGUAUAAGGUGAUCUCAGGGAAGGGGAGAAGGGCUGGUUGCCUGCCAAAUCUAUGAUCAAGUCGGCUCCACAGUCACUUUGCUUCCACUUCUAAGUGAGAACAUACAGUGUUUGGUUUUUCAUUCCUGAGUUACUUCACCUAGAACAAUGGCCUCCAGCUCCAUCCAAGUUGCUGCAGAAGACAUUUCAUUCCUUUUAUGGCUGAGUAGUAUUCCAUGUCCAGUGAUUCAAGUUUGACACACCACACCACGGUGGAUGUGCCUUGUCAUGACACAUCUUCUCAGCAGCACUAGAAGAUACAUCCAAAGUCCUGUGAGCAAGGACACAGCGAGAAGAUGGCUGUCUACAAGCCAGGAAGAGAGUCCUCACCAGAACCAAACCCUGCUGGACUUUGAUCUUGGACUUCCCAGCCUCUAAAACUGUGAAGACAUAAAUUUCUGUUGUUAAACCCACACAGGUCUGUGGUAUCUGUUUAUUAUGGCAGCCCAGUAAGACUAAGACAGGCCAUCACAAGACAUGAAUGUUUUGGACCUUCUCUUGGGCCCUAGUAAACAGAAAUCAGGUACGCAAAAGGGGUAAGCAUAUAAUUUCCUUUAUUUUUAUUUUUAAUGUGUAAGCCUUAGGUUUUUAUUUAUUUAUUUGGUGAAGACAAUCACAUUGUGUACGUACAAUGUAAUUAUAUUGUUGACGAGAAGUUACUUAAAAUUUUUUAAAAAUUCUAAUCGAUUUCUAGAUGUCCAAAUGAGAAGAUAGCAUUUAUAUACCAUCAGAACAUAAAAUAAUUCAAAAAAAUAAAUUUAUAAAACAAUAUGUAUUAUAUUGAGAGAAAGAGAGGGAGAGAGUAUUGGAAGAAUAUAUGCAAAUACAAUGUGAUAAUGUGAUGUCUUUGUGAGAAUGCUAUAUGUCAUUUUCUUUGUUUAUAUGAAUUUUUACAAUUUUUACCUUUGAAAUAUAAAAAAGAGAGAAUAAAAGUCAUUGAAAAAAUCAAAA
rnacentral:lncRNA from 10 species